UGAACGCUGGCGGUAGGCCUAACACAUGCAAGUCGAACGGCAGCACAGUAAGAGCUUGCUCUUACGGGUGGCGAGUGGCGGACGGGUGAGGAAUACAUCGGAAUCUACUUUUUCGUGGGGGAUAACGUAGGGAAACUUACGCUAAUACCGCAUACGACCUACGGGUGAAAGCAGGGGAUCUUCGGACCUUGCGCGAUUGAAUGAGCCGAUGUCGGAUUAGCUAGUUGGCGGGGUAAAGGCCCACCAAGGCGACGAUCCGUAGCUGGUCUGAGAGGAUGAUCAGCCACACUGGAGCUGAGACACGGUCCAGACUCCUACGGGAGGCAGCAGUGGGGAAUAUUGGACAAUGGGCGCAAGCCUGAUCCAGCCAUACCGCGUGGGUGAAGAAGGCCUUCGGGUUGUAAAGCCCUUUUGUUGGGAAAGAAAAGCAGCAGGUUAAUACCCCGCUGUUCUGACGGUACCCAAAGAAUAAGCACCGGCUAACUUCGU
rnacentral:rRNA from 1 species